CCUACGGGAGGCAGCAGUGAGGAAUAUUGGUCAAUGGACGAGAGUCUGAACCAGCCAAGUAGCGUGAAGGAUGACUGCCCUAUGGGUUGUAAACUUCUUUUAUAAAGGAAUAAAACGAGGCACGUGUGCCUUUUUGCAUGUACUUUAUGAAUAAGGAUCGGCUAACUCCGUGCCAGCAGCCGCGGUAAUACGGAGGAUCCGAGCGUUAUCCGGAUUUGUUGGGUUUAAAGGGAGCGUAGAUGGGUUGUUAAGUCAGUUGUGAAAGUUUGCGGCUCAAACGUAAAAUUGCAAUUGAUACUGGCAGUCUUGAGUACAGUUGAGGUAGGCGGAAUUCGUGGUGUAGCGGUGAAAUGCUUAGAUAUCACGAAGAACCCCGAUUGCGAAGGCAGCUUACUAAACUGUGACUGACAUUGAUGCUCGAAAGUGUGGGUAUCAAACAGGAUUAGAUACCCCAGUAGUC
rnacentral:rRNA from 1 species